GAGAGAGGAAAUUGUAGGUGCAAGUGUGCAGAAAAGAAACGCAUAUGGAGUAUAUUGUGUGGAUUUUGAAUAUGACUCUAUAUUUAAUUGAUAAUAAUAAUGUAUGGUUGGGCUUGAUCAUGGGUUUUGCUUUCUUAUGAUCUCCUACAUUUUUUUCUUUCUUUCUAAUUUUGUGCUUUUUUCCUUUAGUAUUUCUACUACAAGAAAGCUAUUACGCCUCUCCAAAUUUAACGGUGCGCUUGGUUUUUGUUCUAUUUUUAUUUGUGUUGUGAUCUAUGUCUUAAUGUGUUUUUGCGCUCUUUCAUUAUAUUUUAAAGUCAUGUCGCAAUAUUGUUUCUUCAUUAUAGUUAUUGUUUUGAAGUUUAGAGAAUGGGGUUCUAUUCUAGGACUAGGAGCAGAUUGGGUUAUUGCCGUUAGCCUGUAGGUUUUUUUAAGGAUUCGUUACUUUGUGUUAUACGAGAUUAUUAUUUUCGAUUUCUGGUUUUCGACGGGCGCCCUAAGGGUCCACUUGUCUUUGCUCCGAUCAAAUUUGUUUGCUGGAAAACUUUCAUCCGUUUAUUGCAACUUCGGACUUUGACGCAUUUUUUAGAUGUAUUAUUAUGGCAAAAAGAAGAUGUGUACUUUCAACGGAAGACGGCCCUGUGACAACUUGAAGACGUUUAUGUUUUAGUUUACCUCCCCCGUCUGCAAAUGAUAUGGCUAUGCCAAUUAUCUUUGGCCCUGAGUGUUCACAUGCUCUAACUACUCAGUCGAGAAGUUUGCGAGAUAAGACUUCGAAAAAAAGAAAGAGGCAUGUUCUCGUUGUUGACACUGGUGGGAGUGUUCCAAUCUCACAAGUAAUAGGCUCUUCUUCUAAAAAUGGUCAAGUUUUCCUUGGCCCAACAAAUGCAAUUUUGUUCCAUAUUGUCAAAAGGUAU